rnacentral:tRNA from 1 species
UCGGGACGUAGCUCAGUUUGGUAGAGCACCUGGUUUGGGACCAGGGGGUCGCAGGUUCGAAUCCUGUCGUCCCGAU